rnacentral:rRNA from 1 species
CGUAGCGAAAGUUACGCUAAUACCGCAUACUAUCUACGGAUGAAAGCGGGGGAUCGCAAGACCUCGCGCGAUUGGAGCGGCCGAUGUCAGAUUAGGUAGUUGGUGGGGUAAAAGCCCACCAAGGCGACGAUCUGUAGCUGGUCUGAGAGGACGACCAGCCACACUGGAACUGAGACACGGUCCAGACUCCUACGGGAGGCAGCAGUGGGGAAUUUUGGACAAUGGGCGCAAGCCUGAUCCAGCAAUGCCGCGUGCAGGAUGAAGGCCUUCGGGUUGUAAACUGCUUUUGUACGGAACGAAAAGGCUCUGGUUAAUACCUGGGGCUCAUGACGGUACCGUAAGAAUAAGCACCGGCUAACUACGUGCCAGCAGCCGCGGUAAUACGUAGGGUGCAAGCGUUAAUCGGAAUUACUGGGCGUAAAGCGUGCGCAGGCGGUUAUAUAAGACAGAUGUGAAAUCCCCGGGCUCAACCUGGGAACUGCAUAUGUGACUGUAUAGCUAGAGUGCGGCAGAGGGGGAUGGAAUUCCGCGUGUAGCAGUGAAAUGCGUAGAUAUGCGGAGGAACACCGAUGGCGAAGGCAAUCCCCUGGACCUGUACUGACGCUCAUGCACGAAAGCGUGGGGAGCAAACAGGAUUAGAUACCCUGGUAGUCCACGCCCUAAACGAUGUCAACUGGUUGUUGGGUCUUCACUGACUCAGUAACGAAG